rnacentral:rRNA from 1 species
AUGCACGCUGGCGGCGUGCCUAAUACAUGCAAGUCGAGCGAACAGACGAGGAGCUUGCUCCUCUGACGUUAGCGGCGGGCGGGUGAGUAACACGUGGAUAACCUACCUAUAAGACUGGGAUAACUUCGGGAAACCGGAGCUAAUACCGGAUAAUAUAUUGAACCGCAUGGUUCAAUAGUGGAAGACGGUUUUGCUGUCACUUAUAGAUGGAUCCGCGCCGCAUUAGCUAGUUGGUAAGGUAACGGCUUACCAAGGCGACGAUGCGUAGCCGACCUGAGAGGGUGAUCGGCCACACUGGAACUGAGACACGGUCCAGACUCCUACGGGAGGCAGCAGUAGGGAAUCUUCCGCAAUGGGCGAAAGCCUGACGGAGCAACGCCGCGUGAGUGAUGAAGGUCUUCGGAUCGUAAAACUCUGUUAUUAGGGAAGAACAAAUGUGUAAGUAACUAUGCACGUCUUGACGGUACCUAAUCAGAAAGCCACGGCUAACUACGUG